rnacentral:lncRNA from 1 species
AGGCCAACACCACACUCACCCGCUGGUCAAACGGGCUGCCUGGCUCUCAGACUUGUCGUCGGCUGCUGGGGGACAGACUCCUCCCCACCCUGACUGCCUCGCCUCUGCACAGGCCAUUUCCACAGCCAGGGAUGCCUUUUCUGCUUCCAUCAAUGCACAGCCACCCCUUCCUUCAAAACGGAGGGGAGACCACGCCCCUGGAGACACCUCCACACCCCUCUGUUCUCACCACGCAGGCCCUAAGGCGGCAUUGAAUGCAGUCUGGAGUCAAGAACUCAAGUUCAAAUCCUGGCUCAGACUCUUUGCUGUGUGACCUUGGGCAAGUCCUGGCAUCUCUUUGAGCUUCAGCUUUCUCAGGACCAAACCCACGGUGAAGGUACGGUGAUAUCGCGUUGGACCCCAGCGGCAGCCCUGCCCUUCCCGCUGGGCCCCACCUGCCUGUCCCUUCUCCAUGUUCCCACCCGCUUGGGUCUCACCUCCCGGAUCAGCUGCUUCUCGGCCUCCACGUCAUGCUGGAUCACAGGUUGGGGCAACAGCUUCUCCUCCACCUGCACAGGGUCUGGGGGCACCUGCCUGGACAGCAGGGCUGGGGGAGAAACAGAAAUUAGCAGCCAGGAUGAGGGGCACAUUGUGUGCAGGAACUAAGCAGAAAUCUAUAAAAAGACGACCUCAUGGUCAUUCAAGAAGACUUUAAAGUAUUCAGCUUAUUUCAAACACAUCUCCAUGUAAAAGGCUGUUAGUCAUCCAACAAAUAUUUAUGGAGCACCUCGAUGUUCCAGACUCUGAGGAUGCGGCAUUGAACAAAGACAAAAACUCCACACCCACGCUGAGUUUUCCACUGGGAAAAAGAGGAGAAAAGCAGAUGGACAAGGAGAUUAGGUACCCCACGAGGCACAGCCUGCAUCUGAUUCAUCUCUGUGUAUCCAGUACCCAGCACGUGUCCACACAGAGGAGCAGCUCAGGGAACCUUCAGUGGAUAGAUGGGUAGGACUCCAUUGCAGGGAACCGAGUCUGAGGAAAUGACUCUCAGAUGAGAAAAAGCUUUGUGCACACAGAUGUCCAUCGUGGCAUGACUUGCAGCACUGGGAAACUGGAAACCAAUUGUCAAGGACCGGUUGGAAAAUGGCAUGAGCCAGGCCACCACACAUGGUCAUGAAGACACGGUGACAGUAAAGUGCAGAAAUGCUUAGUGACAGCAAGGGAGAUGGAACCAGGGGAAACCUACAUGGCGUAAGAUUUCAGUUAUGUUUAAAACAUUCACAGGAAAAAAGGAUCAAAAGAAAAUAUGGGCUGGGCGCAGUGGCUCAUGUCUGUAAUCCCAGCAGUUUGGGAGGCUGAGGUGGAUUGCUUGAAUCCAGGAGUUCGAGACCAGCCUGGGCAACAUGGCGAGAUCCUGUCGCUACAAAACAUAAAAAUUAGCUGGGUGUGGUGGUGCAUGCCUGUAGUUCCAAGCUACUUGGGAGGCUGAGGUGGGAGGAUUGGUUGAGCCUGGGAGACCAAGGUUGCAGUGAUCUGAGAUUGCACCACUGCACUCCAGCCUGGGCAACAGAGCUGUCUCAAAAAAAAAAACAAACCAAUGUGUAUGUGUGUGUGUGUGUGUGUGUGUGUG